UGCUAUUUUGGGGUAGAGCUUUAGA
rnacentral:piRNA from 1 species